AAACAUAGUAGAGAAAGUCUUCCAUAUUCUUUUCCGAUCUCAUUUCUCUAUUUGUAUGGUAGAAGAUAACUAUUACAUGACACACGCUCUAUUUCUCUCUCUUUUCAAACACAAGCACAAGGAUGAGACAUGAAAACAUACCUCGAUUUCACCAUCUACUUCAACUUAUCAGAGUAUUUCACGCAAACUUCUCCAACCCAAACCGGAAACUUGAUGCUUGAGCCUUGAUCAAAGUCAGAAGAUGAUACACGCACGCACGUGAUCAUAAAAGAAACUCUACAUAAAUCAGAAAGUAUCCACUUGGG